GCCCAGCUGACGAGUCCCAAAUAAGACGAAACGCGCGUCCUGAAU
rfam:Schistosoma margrebowiei strain Zambia genome assembly, scaffold: SMRZ_contig0001320